GCCUGGCUGGCUCAGUCAGAAAAGCAUGUGACUCUUAAUCUCAGGGUUGUGAGUUCAAGCCCCAUGUUGGGUG
rnacentral:tRNA from 1 species